AUGGUGUCAAAGAAAAUUGAAGAAAAAGAAGUAGAAGCUCCCAUCCAUGGAAACAUCUUAGAAGCCAUACUCUCUCACGUGUCGCUCAUUUACUUGCUCCUAGCCAAUCACGUGUUAGAUCAUUGGAACACCGUGGUGUCCUCCUCCAUCCACCACGUCAACCCCGUGAAAGUGACGCCACAACAUCGACCUGGCUCUUUACUACCUUCUCCGGUGAGAUUAUGUACGUGA